UAUAUCGGAACGUGCCCAGUCGUGGGGGAUAACGCAGCGAAAGCUGUGCUAAUACCGCAUACGAUCUCUGGAUGAAAGCGGGGGACCUUCGGGCCUCGCGCGAUUGGAGCGGCUGAUAUCAGAUUAGCUAGUUGGUGGGGUAAAAGCCCACCAAGGCGACGAUCUGUAGCUGGUCUGAGAGGACGACCAGCCACACUGGAACUGAGACACGGUCCAGACUCCUACGGGAGGCAGCAGUGGGGAAUUUUGGACAAUGGGCGCAAGCCUGAUCCAGCAAUGCCGCGUGCAGGAUGAAGGCCU
rnacentral:rRNA from 1 species